GAUGAACGCUGGCGGCGUGCCUAAUACAUGCAAGUCGAGCGAACAGACGAGGAGCUUGCUCCUCUGACGUUAGCGGCGGACGGGUGAGUAACACGUGGAUAACCUACCUAUAAGACGGGGAUAACUUCGGGAAACCGGAGCUAAUACCGGAUAAUAUAUUGAACCGCAUGGUUCAAUAGUGAAAUACGGUUUUGCUGUCACUUAUAGAUGGAUCCGCGCCGCAUUAGCUAGUUGGUAAGGUAACGGCUUACCAAGGCAACGAUGCGUAGCCGACGUGAGAGAGUGAUCGGCCACACUGGAACUGAGACACGGUCCAGACUCCUACGGGAGGCAGCAGUAGGGAAUCUUCCGCAAUGGGCGAGAGCCUGACGGAGCAACGCCGCGUGAGUGAUGAAGGUCUUCGGAUCGUAAAACUCUGUUAUUAGGGAAGAACAAAUGUGUAAGUAACUAUGCACGUCUUGACGGUACCUAAUCAGAAAGCAACGGCUAACUACGUG
rnacentral:rRNA from 1 species